rnacentral:rRNA from 1 species
AGCGGCGGACGGGUGAGUAACACGUGGGUAACCUGCCCAAGAGACUGGGAUAACACCUGGAAACAGAUGCUAAUACCGGAUAACAACACUAGACGCAUGUCUAGAGUUUGAAAGAUGGUUCUGCUAUCACUCUUGGAUGGACCUGCGGUGCAUUAGCUAGUUGGUAAGGUAACGGCUUACCAAGGCAAUGAUGCAUAGCCGAGUUGAGAGACUGAUCGGCCACAUUGGGACUGAGACACGGCCCAAACUCCUACGGGAGGCAGCAGUAGGGAAUCUUCCACAAUGGACGAAAGUCUGAUGGAGCAACGCCGCGUGAGUGAAGAAGGGUUUCGGCUCGUAAAGCUCUGUUGGAAGUGAAGAAAGAUAGAGGUAGUAACUGGCCUUUAUUUGACGGUAAUUACUUAGAAAGUCACGGCUAACUACGUGCCAGCAGCCGCGGUAAUACGUAGGUGGCAAGCGUUGUCCGGAUUUAUUGGGCGUAAAGCGAGUGCAGGCGGUUCAAUAAGUCUGAUGUGAAAGCCUUCGGCUCAACCGGAGAAUUGCAUCAGAAACUGUUGAACUUGAGUGCAGAAGAGGAGAGUGGAACUCCAUGUGUAGCGGUGGAAUGCGUAGAUAUAUGGAAGAACACCAGUGGCGAAGGCGGCUCUCUGGUCUGCAACUGACGCUGAGGCUCGAAAGCAUGGGUAGCGAACAGGAUUAGAUACCCUGGUAGUCCAUGCCGUAAACGAUGAGUGCUAAGUGU